GUAUCCUGACCGUGCAAAGGUAGCAUAAUCAUUUGCCUUUUAAUUGGAGGCUAGUAUGAAUGGGAAGACGUAGAUUCAGCUGUUUCUAUAUUAUAAAUAAAACUUAAACUUUAGGUGAAGAUGCCUAAAUUUUAUAGAAAGACAAGAAGACCCUAUAGAGUUUUAGUUAAACCUACUAAUCUAUUGUAAUAUAACUUUGGUUGGGGCGACCUAGGAUUUUCAUAAACAUCCUACUAACUUACGAUAUUUUAUUCUUAUAAAUUGACCCUAUAACGGAUUAUCAGAAAUAACUACCUUAGGGAUAACAGGCUUAUCUUCCUAGAGAGCUCUUAUUGAUAGGAUGGUUUGGCACCUCG
rnacentral:rRNA from 1 species